CUGCGAGUUACGCGGGUUUAAAUAGUCAGUAGCCGAACGACGUUGGCCGUUUGUGGCCUCGUGGUUUGGCUUUUACAUCUUUGCAGUACGCGUGAGAGGGGCAGACAGAAGCAGGUGUGCCAGGGGGCAGAUUGACAACCCCCCCCUCAACGCUGUAAAAAUCAGAGGUUUCUAAAAAUCUGAGGGAAAUCUGGCGCUCGGAGACACUACCGCUUUUCUCCACAGGGGGCGCCAGACUCCACACAGAAUCACAGUAGUUCGUCGUAGUGGCUUUAAGUAGCUGCACCUGCCGCUGCGCACAAAAUGGCCCGUGUGAAACACGCACUCUCGCCGCCACACACAUCACAGAUGUACCGCCGAGGGUUAUUCUGAAAGAAAUGAUUGUUGAUUCAUCUUCGCUGCCUCCUUCAACAUCGCAGGCUGAUUCCACCAGCGAAGCAUCAAAACUUCGAAGCCGAAGGCUCUGCAUCCACAACAAACAGAGUCGAGUGCAGGAAACACAGAACCUGUCGUCUGCAGUCAGUGAAGCUCCGGUCCAGACUCCUGCACGAGGCCUCCUGCAGUAGCUUUGCUUACAGUGCCCCCUUCUGUCAUAUGAUACAACCAUAUAUACACAUUGACUCAUAUGCAUAUGUAUGUACACAGCACCAGUCAGUCAGGUGGGACACAUCUUCUCAUUGUGUCUCUCGACUGGUACUCUACAUCAUUUUUCUCUCUUCAAGUAUCUCAAUCGGUAUUUUGCAGGUUUUCACCUGACCUGACUAAAGUUGUGAGUGGCGCUUCGUUGCCCCCCCGCUCAUCUACCACAGUGGAAAAAUGUGGUGCUGCACAGGAAGCCAUGAGAUGCACUCGUGUGUAGGAGGUGCUGCUACGGUAGAAAAAGGGGGUAGCUCAGGAGUUUGGGUGCUUACUACAGCAGCAUCCACUGCUAUUUUUAACCCGACCGGUUCGUAACAUCUUGAGCGCCUCCACACAGAACAUUUAUAUUGAUAUAUAUUUAAGUGUAUUAUUUGAUUGCAGCUAUCGAACAACAGCAUAUUUGACUGCAGCUAUCGUACAACAUGUUAUAAUAGUUAAUACAACUUCAUCAAUGCAUUUUCUCCACUGUGUGCCUUUGAGACUUGAUUAAAAACGGGUUUGUCGAUGUAA
ensembl:lncRNA